GAUGAACGCUGGCGGCGUGCCUAAUACAUGCAAGUCGAGCGAACAGACGAGGAGCUUGCUCCUCUGACGUUAGCGGCGGACGGGUGAGUAAAACGUGGAUAACCUACCUAUAAGACUGGGAUAACUUCGGGAAACCGGAGCUAAUACCGGAUAAUAUAUUGAACCGCAUGGUUCAAUAGUGAAAGACGGUUUUGCUGUCACUUAUAGAUGGAUCCGCGCCGCAUUAGCUAGUUGGUAAGGUAACGGCUUACCAAGGCAACGAUGCGUAGCCGACCUGAGAGGGUGAUCGGCCACACUGGAACUGAGACACGGUCCAGACUCCUACGGGAGGCAGCAGUAGGGAAUCUUCCGCAAUGGGCGAAAGCCUGACGGAGCAACGCCGCGUGAGUGAUGAAGGUCUUCGGAUCGUAAAACUCUGUUAUUAGGGAAGAACAAAUGUGUAAGUAACUACGCACGUCUUGACGGUACCUAAUCAGAAAGCCACGGCUAACUACGUG
rnacentral:rRNA from 1 species